GCGGGAAUAGCUCAGUGGUAGAGCACGACCUUGCCAAGGUCGGGGUCGCGAGUUCGAGCCUCGUUUCCCGCU
rfam:Thiothrix lacustris isolate A8 Ga0073116_1393, whole genome shotgun sequence.